GACGAACGCUGGCGGCGUGCUUAACACAUGCAAGUCGAACGGAAAGGCCCUGCUUUUGUGGGGUGCUCGAGUGGCGAACGGGUGAGUAACACGUGAGUAACCUGCCCCUGACUUUGGGAUAACUUCAGGAAACUGGGGCUAAUACCGGAUAGGAGCUCCUGCUGCAUGGUGGGGGUUGGAAAGUUUCGGCGGUUGGGGAUGGACUCGCGGCUUAUCAGCUUGUUGGUGGGGUAGUGGCUUACCAAGGCUUUGACGGGUAGCCGGCCUGAGAGGGUGACCGGCCACAUUGGGACUGAGAUACGGCCCAGACCCCUACGGGAGGCAGCAGUGGGGAAUAUUGCACAAUGGGCGGAAGCCUGAUGCAGCAACGCCGCGUGCGGGAUGACGGCCUUCGGGUUGUAAACCGCUUUCGCCUGUGACGAAGCGUGAGUGACGGUAAUGGGUAAAGAAGCACCGGCUAACUACGUG
rnacentral:rRNA from 1 species